GGCCAUAGUGUCGGAACUCCUCACUGUGUGGGUUGGGAAUUGAGGCCUCCAUCCCUGAAAGGAGAGGGUUGAAUAAAUAAAAAGACUAGACAUGUUGGAAAAAGUUGACGAAAUACCGUCACUACCGCGCUGCGGGUGGGCGCAGGAAGGCAGUAGGUUUCUUCUCUCUGUCAAUGUUGGAAGACGGAAAUUGAUAUGACGAUCAAAAAAAAAAGAAAGAAAGAAAGAAAAGAAAAGAAAUCAUGGAGGCGAAACCAUGUAUUUCGAUUAGGGCCAGUGAUGUAUGUGACCCUCUAACUUCUUCAAGAAAAGAUGUACUAGCUAUAUAAAAAAGGUAGGGAAAAGAAGGUCAACUCCCAUGAAUGAUUCCGUACACUAGCUAUAAACUCUCUUUUCAG
rnacentral:sRNA from 1 species